AGUGAACGCUGGCGGUAGGCCUAACACAUGCAAGUCGAACGGUAGCACAGUAAGAGCUUGUUCUUACGGGCGGCGGGUGGCGUACGGGUGCGGAAUACGCCGGAACCUACUUUUUCGCUGGGGGUAAGGUAGGGUAACACACCCUACUACCGCAUACGACCUACGGGGGAAAGCAGGGCAUCUUCGGACUUUGCGCGAUGGUGUGAGCCGAUGUCGGAUUAGCUAGUUGGCGGGGUAAAGGCCCACCAAGGCGACGAUCCGUAGCUGGUCUGAGAGGAUGAUCAGCCACACUGGAACUGAGACACGGCCCAGACUCCUACGGGAGGCAGCAGUGGGGAAUUUUGGACAAUGGGCGCAAGCCUGAUCCAGCAAUGCCGCGUGGAGGAAGAAGGCCUUCGGGUUGUAAAGCCCUUUUGUUGGGAAAGAAAAGGAGCAGGUUAAUACCCCGCUGUACUGACGGUACCCUAAGAAUAAGCACCGGCUAACUUCGUG
rnacentral:rRNA from 1 species